ACGAAGGGUGCAAGCGUUAAUCGGAAUUACUGGGCGUAAAGGGUGCGUAGGCGGUUCGUUAAGUCUGUCGUGAAAUCCCCGGGCUCAACCUGGGAAUGGCGAUGGAUACUGGCGAGCUAGAGUGUGUCAGAGGAUGGUGGAAUUCCCGGUGUAGCGGUGAAAUGCGUAGAGAUCGGGAGGAACAUCAGUGGCGAAGGCGGCCAUCUGGGACAACACUGACGCUGAAGCACGAAAGCGUGGGGAGCAAACAG
rnacentral:rRNA from 2 species